ACUUGGAUAACCGUAGUAAUUCUAGAGCUAAUACAUGCAACGACGCCCGACCGUUUCACUACGGAAGGGCUGUAUUUAUUGGAUACCAAAACCAUCCUUCCCUCGGGAAGUUUUGUUUGAUGAUUCACAAUAACUGAUCGGAUCGCCACUGUGGUGGCGACAGGUCAUUCAACAUUCUGCCCUAUCAGCUUUCGAUGGUUGUGUAGUGGACAACCAUGGCCAUAACGGGUAACGGAGAAUCAGGGUUCGAUUCCGGAGAAGGAGCUUGAGAAUUGGCUACUACAUCUAAGGAAGGCAGCAGGCGCGCAAAUUACCCAAUCCCGAUUCGGGGAGGUAGUGACAAAAAAUAACAAUACCGGGCCUUUUUGGGCUUGGUAAUUGGAAUGAGGGAGAGUUAAACGGACCAUCGAGUAUCCAUUGGAGGGCAAGUCUGGUGCCAGCAGCUGCGGUAAUACCAGCUCCAAUAGCGUAUAUUAAAGUUGUUGCAGUUAAAAAGCUCGUAGUUGGACUUGUGUGCGCUGUCCGCGGGUGGCCUGCGCCCAAAAGGGCGUUUCGGUUCGGCCCCGGUGGCGCCUUGAAAUCUGCAGCUGGGGGGACGUUGGCCUUAACUGGUCGGCGACCGCACGCCGGCUGCUCUGUUACUGUGAGAAAAUUAGAGUGUUCAAGGCAGGCAUUGGGUGCAAUUGAAUACAUUAGCAUGGAAUAAUAAAAUAUGGCUCCUGCCGUAUUUUGUUGGUUUUGACUGGUGGGAGUAAUGAUUGAUAGGGACGGUUGGGGGUGCUAGUAUUGAGCGGCCAGAGGUGAAAUUCAUGGAUUCGCUCAAGACUAACUUAUGCGAAAGCAUUCACCAAGGACGUCCUCUUUAAUCAAGAACGAAAGUUGGGGGAUCGAAGACGAUCAGAUACCGUCGUAGUCUCAACCAUAAACUAUGUCGACUUGGGAUCGGCGGUAGUUUUUUCAUUAAGACACUGUCGGGACCACGGGAGAAAUCAAAGUGUCUGGACUCUGGGGGAAGUAUGGUCGCAAGGCUGAAACUUGAAGGAAUUGACGGAAGGGCACCACCAGGAGUGGAGCCUGCGGCUUAAUUUGACACAACACGGGGAAACUUACCAGGUCCAGAGAUGUAGAGGAUUGACAGAUUGAAGCUCUUUCUUGAUCACUUCGGUGGUGGUGCAUGGCCGUUCUUAGUUGGUGGAGUGAUUUGUCUGGUUGAUUCCGUUAACGAACGAGACCUCAGCCUGCUAGUGUAGUCGGCUGGAUUG
rnacentral:rRNA from 1 species